rnacentral:lncRNA from 1 species
AGUGAGAAAAGCCAUGGUUUUCGUUGUCCUGUGGAGAUUGUCACUGUUCUCAGAAAUAAACAUUAGCUGUUGGCUUGCAUUUGGAGAUUCGAGGGGCACAGUUAACUGUUUGAGUAAAUGGUAGGCAGGGAGGUGUGGAUAAACUGGAAACUAAUAGAGGUACACGUGGGCAUGAGUUACUUUCAAGUGGCAUUGUCUUAUUCCAUUGUGUGCUGCUAUCACAGAAUACCACAGAUGGAGUAAUUUUAAUGGAUAGAAAUUUAUAUUGCUUACAGUUCUGGAGGUUGGGAAGUCCAAGAUGGAGAAGACAGCAUUUGGUGAGGGCUCUCUUGCUGCAUCAUAUCAUGGCAGACGUGAAAGGCAGAGGCAAGAGGAAGAGAGGGAGCGGGUACUGAGCUCCUCUUUAUAUAAGGAACCCACCCCAGUGAGAACAGGCCUCAUGGCCUAAUUACCUCUUAAAGGGCCUGCCUCUCAACACUGCUGCAAUGGGUAUAGGCUCCCAACAUGUGGACUUGGAAGGACCCAUUCAAACCACAGCAGGCACCAACCUUAAACAAUCAUUGGAGAAUCUCUAUACAAAACCCCCUAAUUCACUAUCAGGGGAUCUCAGACUUGGAGUGAGCACCAGGUGGCCCCUCAUCAAACUCCUACCUGAAGGAAUAUGUUCAGGUCAAGUAGCUCCUCACUGACUCUCAAGGCAGAACCAUAACUCUGUUAUUCAAAGUGAACCCAAAUCUGCCUCCUGAAAGCUCCAUCUGCAGGUCUUAGUUCUGCCUUUUGGAGUAGCCUAGGAAGCAUGAACAGCAGGAAAACAAGCCAGGGAGCCUGCGACCCAGGCCCAAUGCCUGAGUGCCAGUAUCUGUGGGGCUUCGAGCAAGCAUGCAAACCUCUGCCUCAGUUUCCCAGUGCCACAGUCUGGCUGGGCACAAAUCACCGAGCCGCCACAAAGCACUUGUAUGUUCAAACAGGAAACUUUAUUGCCCGAACUCCACCAGCACUCCACGCACACUCCCCGGGAACUCUCUCAGCUCUUCCCGGGGCUCCGCGCCUACCCCACUCGGACCCCUCGAGAACUCAAUGGGAACUCCAAAGUAUCAGGCACCCGGAGGCAGCAGGAACCACCCUAUUCCUGCAGCCACCCUAUUGCUGGACAGCAGGGGAUCAUAUACAACUGAAUACACAGUUUAACAUAACCAUCAUCAUCUCAAUGGCUCGCUGGCAUCACCUCUCAACCACUUCCUUCUGGCAGAAUGCCAUGCGUCUUCCGGACUCGGACUCAGCUGUGGCCCUCAAC